GACGAACGCUGGCGGCGCGCCUAACACAUGCAAGUCGAACGAGCGAGAGAGAGCUUGCUUUCUUGAUCGAGUGGCGAACGGGUGAGUAACGCGUGAGGAACCUGCCUCAAAGAUUGGGACAACAUUUGGAAACUACUGCUAAUACCGCAUAAGCCCACGGUGCCGCAUGGCACAGAUGGAAAAGGAGCAAUCCGCUUUGAGAUGGCCUCGCGUCCGAUUAGCUUGUUGGUGAGGUAACGGCCCACCAAGGCGACGAUCGGUAGCCGGACUGAGAGGUGGAACGGCCACAUUGGGAAUGAGACACGGCCCAGACUCCUACGGGAGGCAGCAGUGGGGAAUAUUGCACAAUGGGGGAAAACCUGAGGAAGCGACGCGGCGUGGAGGAAGAAGGUCUUCGGAUUGCAAACUCCUGUGGGAGGGGAAGAUAAUGACGGUAACGAACAAGGAAGAGACGGCUAACUACGUG
rnacentral:rRNA from 1 species